rnacentral:rRNA from 1 species
AUGGAGAUGGAGCUCAACCUUGUCUCGUACGUGUCCAUCGCCCUGUUCGUCCUCUCCGGCGCGUACGUCUACCACACGACGCGGAGCCGGUCGCCGAGGCCGCGGCUCCCGCCGUCACCGCCUGGGUGGCCCGUGAUCGGCCACCUCCACCUGCUGACGGACAUGCCGCACCACGCGCUUGCGGAGCUGGCCAGGACCAUGCGCGCCCCGCUACUCCGGCUCCGGCUUGGGAGCGUCCAGGCCGUGGUGAUCUCCAAGCCUGACUUGGCCCGCGCGGCGCUCACCAGCAACGACGCGGCCAUGGCGUCCCGCCCGCACCUUCUCUCAGGCCAGUUCCUUGCGUUCGGGUGCUCCGAGGUCACGUUAGCCCCGGCGGGGCCGUACCACCGGAUGGUGCGGCGGGUGGUCGUCUCCGAGCUCCUCUCGGCGCGCCGCGUCGCCACCUACGGCAGCGUCCGGUGCAAGGAGCUCCGCCUCCUACUCGCGCACCUCACCAAGAACACCACGCCGGGGACGCCCGUCGACCUCAGCGAGUGCUUCCUGAACCUCGCCAACGACGUGCUCUGCCGUGUGGCCUUCGGCCGCCGCUUCCCGCAUGGCAAGGAUGACAAGCUCGCCGCGGUACUCACCGAGGCCCAGGACCUCUUCGCCGGGUUCAACGUCGGGGACUUCUUCCCUCAGCUCGAGCCCUUUGCGAGCACCAUCACCGGGCUCCGCCGCCGGCUGAAGAGCUGCUCCGCCGACCUCCGCGAGGUCUGCGACGACAUCGUCGAGGAGCACGUGAGCGGCAAGCACCAGCGCCUCCCCGGCGACCGCGACGAGGACUUUGUGGACGUGCUCCUCCGCGUCCAGAAGUCGCCCGACCUCGAGGUCCCGCUCACCGACGACAAUCUCAAAGCCCUCAUCCUGGACAUGUUCGUCGCCGGCACAGACACGACGUUCGCGACGCUGGACUGGGUGAUGACGGAGCUGGUUCGCCACCCACGCAUCCUUCAAAAGGCGCAGGAGGAGGUCCGGCGGGUGGUGGGCGCCAAGGGCCGGGUGGAGGAGUCGGACCUGGCGGAGCUCCCCUACAUGCGCGCCAUCAUCAAGGAGACCUUCCGGCUGCACCCGGCGGUGCCGCUGCUCGUCCCGCGGGAGACCGUGGCCGCGUGCACGCAGGGCGGCUACGACAUCCCUGCCAAGACCCGCGUCUACAUCAACACGUUCGCCAUGGGCCGGGACCCGGAGAUCUGGGAGGACCCGCUGGAGUACUCGCCGGAGCGGUUCGAGGUUGCCGGCGCCGGCGGCGAGAUCGACCUCAAGGACCCGGACUACAAAUUGCUGCCGUUUGGCGGCGGGCGGAGGGGGUGUCCAGGCUACACGUUCGCGCUGGCCACCGUGCAGGUGUCGCUGGCCAGCCUGCUGUACCACUUGGAGUGGGCGCUGCCCGCCGGCGUGCGCGCCGAGGACGUGAGCGUGGAGGAGACCUUCGGGCUGGCCACCAGGAAGAAGGAGCCGCUCUUUGUGGCCGUCAGGAAGAGCGACGUGUACGAAUUCAAGGGGGAGGAGCUCAGCGAGGUUUAA